rnacentral:lncRNA from 1 species
AUGGAUCUGGUGGUGGAAGUGGUGGAUAUGGUAGCAGAAGGUUCUAAAAAAAAAUUCAGAAGAAAAGGGUUGAAUGAGAACCCUUCUUGCCUAAAUGAGGAAUGUCUUUCCUACCAUCUUAAAUACGAAGGUUUCUGGCUGGGUAAGGUUUGUAGCUCACAGUAAAAGCUGAUGACACCAUUUGUUUCCCUACAAGUACACCUUACACAUUUUCAAACUAGUAGGUACAUUGGCAAAAUUAUUCAGCUGAACACUGAGAACCACAUCCAACACACAAAACCGUUUAAGGCCCUGCAACAACCAUGAGUAUCUUGAGUCAGAUGUGGCCCAUGUAUAUAAUUCAUUCUUGGUGUCUUUAGGGUACAGGUGAUUUUUGGUAAGAGAAGUAAGGUAAUAAGCAUGACACAACAAAAGCACUAAAGUGCCAAUCCUCAUUUGUCAGGUGAACAGAUAGAAAAAUGGUCUUCAUUCAAGUGGCCUCAUAAAUUCUCUUGCAUAUAAAUUCAGGGAAUUAUUUGAACUAAUAAGAUACAUUUUUGGUUCUUUUUAUCCAGUUGUCCAGAACUAGUAGGGCCUAAUUAUGCUAAUGUUUCCUUUUUAAAAGAUUUCCCAAAGAAUGAUUAAGAUAUUAGUUACUAUUCAUAUCAGUUGCUGGUUAUUCAUAAGGGCUAUUGCGCCUCAAAAGGGCUUGUUAAAAAUUGAGAUUUGAGGGGUACCUGGCUGGCUCAGUCGGUAGAGCACGCAAUUCACACUUGGGUUUAUGAGUUUAAGCCCCAUAUUGGGCAAACACUUGGACAGGCAUCAUACAGUUUCUAAAUUAUAAGGUUUAUAAGUAGAUAGGUUAGUUUGCCUAAGUUUAUUCUCAGAAAAUGACUGGUUGGCUCUAUUUCCGUACCUAAAUCAGGACUGAAUUUCUACACAUAGAAUGAAGUGUUGAAGAAGGUAAUAGUCUUUUAAUGAUAAAUUUUCUUUACUGGUUUUAGUGUGAAAUUAAGACAGGAAACAUUUUUUAAAAGGCAUUGUUCUUUACAGUCCAUCUCAUUUCUUAUGAAAUAAAGUGAUUUUAUUUAAAUGUAGCUCCA